GAUGAACGCUGGCGGCGUGCUUAACACAUGCAAGUCGAACGGUGAAGGCGGAGCUUGCUCUGCUGGAUCAGUGGCGAACGGGUGAGUAACACGUGAGCAAUCUGCCCCUGACUCUGGGAUAAGCGCUGGAAACGGCGUCUAAUACUGGAUACGAGCUGCGAAGGCAUCUUCAGCAGCUGGAAAGAAUUUCGGUCAGGGAUGAGCUUGCGGCCUAUCAGCUUGUUGGUGAGGUAAUGGCUCACCAAGGCGUCGACGGGUAGCCGGCCUGAGAGGGUGACCGGCCACACUGGGACUGAGACACGGCCCAGACUCCUACGGGAGGCAGCAGUGGGGAAUAUUGCACAAUGGGCGAAAGCCUGAUGCAGCAACGCCGCGUGAGGGACGACGGCCUUCGGGUUGUAAACCUCUUUUAGCAGGGAAGAAGCGAAAGUGACGGUACCUGCAGAAAAAGCGCCGGCUAACUACGUG
rnacentral:rRNA from 1 species